rnacentral:lncRNA from 1 species
UUCCUCUCUUGGGUUCUCUUUUCACGGAGAGGUGGCUAGUGGGAACAUGCUGGGCAUCUUGGCAUCUUGGUGUUGGCUACAUCUAUUGUCUGGGUUUGUCGGUCAUGUGUACUUCCAAAGCUUUUCAACUAGUUCCGUUGGGGAAGACUCACUUGAGAGAAGCUCUUCUGCUAUAAUGGGACCAUGGAGUCCUGGAUGUAUGGUAGCAGAUUAUCCCCACAAAAGUCCUUCUCAAAUGUCUCAUCCUGGCAUGUAGAAGGUUCUGGGUCCUAGAAAGAGAUUUCAGCAGAGCCCGUGCCAAGGAAGAAAGCCUUUGAUUUAAUGAUCCUGUUUGUCACCAGAGGAUAAGAUUGUUUGAAGUGGCUCUUCAUAUACUAACAAAGAAAGAGAUUGGGAUUUGUCAUCUUUGCCAGUCUGAAGAACGUAAAGUGAAAUGUCAGAGGAUGGAUUUGAUGAAAGCUCAAGAGAAGAGAGAUCUUGGAUUCUAGUUUCAAGAGAGAAGACAUGCAGUUUCAUACUUCAAGUUCCUGAAGGGAGAGGAAGACUGGAGAAAAGGUCAACAUGAGGAGAAGUCAUGAAAUUUUCCCUAUGCCCAGUUUAUCACAUUAAAGACUUUAGGAAAUUAUCCUUGAAAUUGUCUUGGUUGAA